GACCAGGGCCCACCUGUGCCAUUGUCUGGGAUCAGCACCACGUUCACCAGGCCAGCCUCAAACUGGUCCUCCAGCUGGGCCAAACUCUCGUAGUAGCGGCCUUGAAAGAACACCUUCUGGAUGGCCCAGCGGGCAGGGUCCAGAGCCUUGUGGUCUACCAGCAACUCCAACCCCACGGGGUGCAGGAAGAACCCAGCCCCUGAGACGUUGUAGUAGAGGCCAAACCAGGCGGCCCGGUCCCCUGACUGCAAGCCUCGGGGGGCCGUGGGCAUCGUCACCAGGUUCUGUCCUUGGCGCUUAUAGAAGCAGCAGUGGUGCAGGAGCCCAGCAGCCUGGGGCAGCUCUCUGUCGAAGAUCAGCUGGUUUAUGUCCAGGCUCCUGAAUCAUUAUGCAGAAUGGGAAAUAGAAAGAUAAAAGACAGACAGGACCUGGGUGCAAGACGUCUCUUUGAGUCUCUGGAGUUUCCUGCUCUCUGAGAGGUGCCGCUGGGCAAGAGGCAUGAUGGGCACAUUGAAGAUGGAACCUUUUUCUUGGCUGCGAGGCCGCAAGCGAAACUCACCUGCCCACACCUCUCCAGUGGGGUCCCCCCCCUUCCCUCCAGGCUCUGCUUCUCAUCACUCUCUCCGACUCCUCACCAGCCAUCAGCCAGAGCCCUGUCGGCGGGCUCCAGCUUGGAGAGUAAUGCUGAGAGCACAAAGCACCUGGGCGGAGUUGGGAGGCUGAAGGGCUGAGCCAGAUCUACAGUGGGGAGGCUCUGAGCACCCUAGAUCACUGGAGGGGAGUAGACGGGGUGGGGAGCCAGUCAGAAAUUGGGGCGGUGGGGGGCAGGUGCAGAGUGUAACAGAAAUCCCUUGUCUCCCCUUUAAGCAGGACUGAUGGGCCAGGUCUGAGGUCAGGGGGCUUGGAAAACUGGCUGUGGAAUUAACUUAGCAGCCCACAGCCCUCAACUCCAGGAAACCCUCCACUGAAAUGUUGCAGAAGCAGAGAGCGAAGCCACCUCCCAUUCUCCGCCAGGUGACCUGUAAGAGGCCACCCUCAUCUGGACGGCCAGGUCCUGAGGGGAAUAAGGAGAGACUGAGGGUUCCACGGAGGGGACAUGCUUCCCUCGUGAGCCUGGGGGAGAAUCCUUUCCAACGUGGACCUGCCCAGGAAGAUUUGCCUGGGAAGACGUUAGUUGGACCUUGCAGGCAGAAUGCGUUCGUGGGACAGAAAGAGGAAAGACAUGACGGCCAAAGGAAACAGAAGGUGCAAAGGUAAAGAAACUCAAAACAGCCCAACAUGGGCAGGAAACAGCCAAAAGGUUGGUGUAUUGGGUGUGAGGUGGGGACAAAAUGGGGGGCAGAAGAGGUAGGAUCAGGAAGUUUUGUGCGGUACCCGUUUCAAGCAAGGUCGUAAUUGCGGGUAGGCAGUGAGGCGUCUCAGAACCUGGGAGAGUUAAACCAGGUAAAUCGAUAACAAAAAAGGCAGGUUAUCCAGAAACAUUAAUACAUCCAGCUGUAGUUUUGUUUUUGUUUUUAAAGAUAGUAUCUUUAAGUAAUCUCUGCAAUGUGGGGCUCGAACUCGCAACCCCAAGAUCCAGAGGCACUUGUUCCACCCAGUGAGCCAGCCCGGCGCCCUGCAUUCAGCUGUAUUUUGAUAUGGAAACUCAAAGGGUUUUCCUUUCCCUUGUUCUUUAAUGUGGUAGGGGUACUGGCGCCCAUUCCAAAGUGGUGCAAAAGGCAGGGCCCUCCAUCCCAUAAUAACUCCCCCCUUGCUGAUCUGGUUUCAGACUCUGCAGAAGCUCUUUGUGGAAAAAAAGCAUUUUAAAUAUAUUUUUUAAAAGAUUUUAU